rnacentral:rRNA from 1 species
GACGAACGCUGGCGGCGUGCUUAACACAUGCAAGUCGAACGCUGAAGCUCAGCUUUUGUUGGGUGGAUGAGUGGCGAACGGGUGAGUAACACGUGAGUAACCUGCCUCCUUCUUUGGGAUAACGCCCGGAAACGGGUGCUAAUACUGGAUAUUCACUGGUCUUCGCAUGGGGGUUGGUGGAAAGGGUUUUUCUGGUGGGGGAUGGGCUCGCGGCCUAUCAGCUUGUUGGUGGGGUGAUGGCCUACCAAGGCUUUGACGGGUAGCCGGCCUGAGAGGGUGACCGGUCACAUUGAGACGGAGAUACGGCCCAGACUCCGACGGGAGGCAGCAGUGGGGAAUAUUGCACAAUGGGCGCAAGCCUGAUGCAGCGACGCCGCGUGAGGGAUGGAGGCCUUCGGGUUGUGAACCUCUGUCGCUCAUGGUCAAGCCGCAACAAUGGUUGUGGUGAGGGUAGUGGGUAAAGAAGCGCCGGCUAACUACGUG